rnacentral:lncRNA from 1 species
AAUCACAAGCAGUCAACAUAUUCCAGGUUUCAAGCUUCAAACCUUGGGUUAAGAUUUAAAGAUUGACACAAUUCUUAUCUAUCAACUUUCAAUAAUAAUCUUGCGUGUGUGUGUACUGUCUCCCACUGUCAACCAAAGUAAUGUCAAGAUCCCUCUCUGAAACUACCAUUCUAAAUGCUAAGCUGUCAUUCUUUUCCUACAAUU